UAUAUCAUACAUUAAAUUAUUUUCCCCUAGCAUAUAAGCAAGUAAACUAAAUUAAUGAAAUAGGAUAUACCACUAAAAUGCAAC